rnacentral:rRNA from 1 species
AUGCCGCGUGCAGGAAGACUGCCCUAUGGGUUGUAAACUGCUUUUAUAUAGGAAGAAACCUACUUACGUGUAAGUAGCUGACGGUACUAUAAGAAUAAGGAUCGGCUAACUCCGUGCCAGCAGCCGCGGUAAUACGGAGGAUCCAAGCGUUMUYCGGAAUCAUUGGGUUUAAAGGGUCCGUAGGUGGAUAAUUAAGUCAGAGGUGAAAUCUUGCAGCUCAACUGUAAAAUUGCCUUUGAUACUGGUUAUCUUGAGUUAUUAUGAAGUAGUUAGAAUAUGUAGUGUAGCGGUGAAAUGCAUAGAUAUUACAUAGAAUACCAAUUGCGAAGGCAGAUUACUAAUAAUCAACUGACACUGAUGGACGAAAGCGUGGGUAGCGAACAGGAUUAGAUACCCUGGUAGUCCACGCCGUAAACGAUGGUUACUAGCUGUUUGGACCUUGUGUCUGAGUGGCUAAGCGAAAGUGAUAAGUAACCCACCUGGGGAGUACGUUCGCAAGAAUGAAACUCAAAGGAAUUGACGGGGGCCCGCACAAGCGGUGGAGCAUGUGGUUUAAUUCGAUGAUACGCGAGGAACCUUACCAGGGCUUAAAUGUAAGUUGCAUUAGUUAGAGAUAGCUAUUUCUUCGGACCACUUACAAGGUGCUGCAUGGUUGUCGUCAGCUCGUGCCGUGAGGUGUCAGGUUAAGUCCUAUAACGAGCGCAACCCCUGUUGUUAGUUGCCAGCGAGUCAUGUCGGGAACUCUAACAAGACUGCCGGUGCAAACCGUGAGGAAGGUGGGGAUGACGUCAAAUCAUCACGGCCCUUACGUCCUGGGCUACACACGUGCUACAAUGGUCGGUACAGAGAGCAGCCACUACGCGAGUAGGAGCGAAUCUUCAAAGCCGAUCACAGUUCGGAUCGGAGUCUGCAACUCGACUCCGUGAAGCUGGAAUCGCUAGUAAUCGGAUAU